GAGUGGGAGUAAACGUGAAGGAGAAAGGGGGAACGAGAAGGGAGCGAGAGGGGAGAAAAAGUGCCUUGUGUCAGACACCUUGCCGUUCUGACUGCGCAGCAUCUCGCUUGUUUCUCGUACGCCUUCGUCGAAGCUCCCUACGCAGCGUCGCUCAUCUCGUUUUCUCGUAUACGAGCGUGACGUCAUGCUGCAAGUUGCACGGGAGUAACCGAGCGAGGAAAGGGGAUAAGAGGGGAGCAGUUACGUGGGGAUAUAGAACGAGCGAACGUGCGCGCGCGCAUCAGAAAGCCGCAGCGUCGAUGGAUUUGCUGUUACCUGCAUGGAGUGGACUGCAUGCAGAAUACACGCGAGGUGACAUCGUCGUAUGUGUCGUUGGUUAGCUGAUUUUCCCUCUUCCCUUCGUUCACCUACCUAACCUCUCGACAGAACAUAACCGGUUCCGCGCCGCGUGCAAACUCCUUCCAUCCUCCUACCCCUCGACUGUCUCCUUCCUUCCCGUAGUUUCUUUUCUUUUCAUACAAACCUAUCUCUCUUCCGAACCGUUCCGACCUCCCCCAUUCGUUCUUUCUCACUUUUCUUUCUCGCAUUUCAUUCUCGCUUCCUCUUUUUUCAAGUACUAUACUCGAACCACGGAACGGAUCGAGUUAAUCGCUGGCUGCUCGUCUACUGCUAUUCGACAGCGUUGCAUUUUAUAUGCUUUUCUCUCGUUCUCUUUCGUCACUGAUGUACAACAUACAUUUAAACAUUAACACAGAGAGCGAUUCCGCGGUCAUCCAGCGGGAUGUGCUACUUUAUGCCCUAUUGCAAAGACGAUGGCGGCGGGGCAAUGCCACGAAUCGUGGCCCGACGGAGACGAUGGUCUAUGCGCAUAUUGUACCGGACGGUUAAUGGCAUGAUGGCGUGACAUCGGUGCACAUUGCACACGCACACUGCGAGUAAGGCGAACAGAACGGAACGGGAUGGAACAGAACCGAGUGGAACAGAACGGAAUGGAACGAAACGAAACGAAAGACCGGAACGCGAUGUCGCGUGUCCUAUGUUGUAUUCGCGUGUGUCGCAAAUAUUACACGCGAUCCUUCAACUAAAUGCUUUAGUGCACGAAUGUAUUCGUACAUCGUUUUGCUUCUUCGUUUUCUUUCUAAAGUUUAACUCUUUAACUCUCACAAUCGCUGUGAUUAUUACUUUAUGCUAUAUUAUACGCGAGAUUAGACGAGUUUAUUAAAGGCUAUAAAAAGGCUAUAAAUCUCGGAAAAAAAAUGUAUAACGAUUAUUUUUUUGAUGUAUUGCAUUUUAUCUUAUAUAUAUUGAUUAAUGUAAGUAUUUAUGUACGAAGGAAAAGCCAUGGUCAGUAUGAAAAAUGAAUAUUUUUAACUUCCAUAUAAUACAUAUUGUGCAGAUAUAAUCUAAAAAAUAAAACAUAUUUAACAGCUACUGAAUGAAAUGGAUGUAUGCGUAUUCUUUUAUCAGAAACUCAUGAAAAAAUAUUUUACAAUGAGACGAUCAUACUUUUUGCAAAAAGAAAUAAACUAG